rnacentral:tRNA from 1 species
GGGGAUAUAGCUCAGUGGCAGAGCACUUGCCUAGCACACAUGAGGCCCUUGGUUCAAUCCCUAGUACCACCA